rnacentral:rRNA from 1 species
UACGUAGGGUGCAAGCGUUGUCCGGAAUUAUUGGGCGUAAAGAGCUCGUAGGCGGCUUGUCGCGUCGUCCGUGAAAACUUGGGGCUCAACCCCAAGCUUGCGGUCGAUACGGGCAGGCUGGAGUUCGGUAGGGGAGACUGGAAUUCCUGGUGUAGCGGUGAAAUGCGCAGAUAUCAGGAGGAACACCGGUGGCGAAGGCGGCAUCCUGGACCGACACUGACGCUGAGGAGCGAAAGCCAGGGGAGCAAACGGG